GCUGGGGGAGGCCGAAGCCAGCCGGGGGAGGAGAGAUGCUGGCGGGGCCGGGAGAGGGCGAGAGGAAUACAAAGAAAGAGGUGCAGGGAUGAGAGCUAAGGCGGGGGGAGAUUCUGUCGGAGAGGGAGAAAGGAAGGGAGACCCAUUCCGGGGCUGGUGAGGGAUGGCAAGCAGAAGAGAGGCAGGGGAGGAGGAGAAGGAGGGAGAAGAAAUAGAUAUGGAGACUGAGAGUGAAAUAAGGGUUGUGAGGGAAGGAGAAAGCUCUGCACGGGGAGGGCGGGCUUGGGGAGACAUCUAGGCAGGAGGAGACCAAGCAGGGGCUGGAGGGCCAGAAGUGGUGUUUGUGGGGCCCUGGAGAGAAGGAUGAACCUGCCAGCUGCUUGGACUGAAGCUAGGAAGCCUUUGGGCCUGGACGCCUGUGUCCACCAAGUCCACUGUCCUCCCUAAGAAACCGCUGCAGUGGACCGAGAGAAUCCGCACCUGCGCUUUCUGAGCAAGCUUGAAAUGGGGCCCUGCCAGGAGGCCUGGCUGCACCAUCCUCCACCCUCUCCAACUAUUUCUCCCUGGGUUCUUCCCAGGGAGGGGAAGGGCAGACAUGAGGGGGUACAUUGUUUUUGAAUAGGGAACAGGGGUCUUGCUUGGGCAGUGCCACGAAGAACCUGGGUGUUUGGAGUCUUCUCUUUUGCAAACCUAGAGGCAAUGACGUGUUUUUUUUGGGGGGGUGCUUCAUUGUGGCAAGGUCCCCUUCAGCCUUCCGCUGCUCCCUGAGGCUCCCUGACCAGAGGGGCCACACAGCCUGGAUCUUCCCAUUUACAGAUAGAAGUAGGCACAUUCGUCUUUCCUCUCCUCAGCUUACUCAGACACUGAAUCUACCCUGCCCCUAAGCAUUAGGAAGGAGAACACUGUCCAGUUACCCACAACAGGGUAGAGAGUCAACUGCAAAUGCUUUUCUUCUUUUUUUUUUUUCUAGCUGCUUUCAGGAUCUUAGAUCUUGGACCAGGGAUUGAACCCAGGGCCCCAGCAGUGAGAGCACUGAAUCCUAACAACUGGACUGCCAGGGAAUUCUCUCAAGUGCUUUCAUUUCACACAAGUUCUGGUCUACCCUAUCAUUUGACAGAGAAGAGAACAAGGCCCAGCCAGGGUUUGAGGGGAGAUCACUCACCCAAGGUCACACAGUAGAGGUGGCAGAGUUAGGAUUAGGACAGACUUGAGACACCUUUUGAGCCCUAUAAUUCCUCCCAGGAAUCCCUUGUACUUGAAAUCUGCCCUUAAAGUCAGGAGAUCCGUUUUGAGUACUGAGGUAAAAUAAAGAGCAUGAAGUUUGGAAUAAAAGGAAAUUUCUCUUGCACGUUGUUUUUCUAAAGGUGGAUAUGAGGUUGGAGAAACAUGUUAAGCCUUCAGGGUUAGGACCAUAUCUAAGAGCUUAGCAUGGAAUGGGGCAACUGUGGGUCUACUUGGAACAAGGCUGCUGAUGGAGAGGUCCUCCCUUCCUCUCUCUGUCUCUUUCUUUCUUGCUNNNNNNNNNNNNNNNNNNNNNNUUUGCAAUGUAUCAGGCAUGUUGCAGGGGAGACAGAUCCAGUGGUGAACAGUCUGGUGCCUGCCCUCAUGGAGCUUAUUAUCUAGUAGAGAAGACACAACUAACAAGCAAUUCUAGACGAACUAGGGGUAGAAAUAGAGAAUAGCCUAACUUUUGCUGGCUCCCUAGGGAAAGGGUAUUGAAGAUGAAUCCAGAAGGGAGUUGUGGAAUAGGCCCAACUGCAUUUCAUCACUCACCCCUAGAUACUUUCCUUUCUCUUCUCUGUCAAAUGAUAGGGUAGACCAGAACUUGUGUGAAAUGAA
ensembl:lncRNA